ensembl:lncRNA LOC103690224 uncharacterized LOC103690224
CAUGACUCAGGACUCCUCCUGGCUGGCCAUCAGUUGAGCCCCUAGCGAGGAAUCUGCUUUACCCAAGGCUACAGACUCCAUCCUGCUUGGUGAGGUGAAGAAGGCAAGCUCGCACUCCCCACCUACUCUGCAGGCCUGCUGCUGCCUUCAGGAUUAUUCCCAGCAGAUGGGAUGAUUUCUGGCCCACAUGGAGCCACAGAGGCACUUGCUGUGGGGACCCCAGGGACAACAGGAGUGGAAGAGGCCAGUCCAGAAAACAAGUGAGGAUGUAAGGCUCUCUGCUCUGCUCCAGUGCCAUAUCGGUCUACCUCCCAUCACGAGUAACUAACCUGUACAACAAGCAAGUCCAGAAUUAAAUGCUUUCUGGUUCCAAUGUAGACUGAAAACUGGCAGCUCUUUUGUGACUUCCCUAGGAUUCAUGUUGUGGCUUGAACAACUGCUGGACCCUUGGCCACCGUUGGACUGCAGCAGUUCUUAACCUUCCUAAAUGGGGGACCCUUUAAUACAGCUCACGUUGAUGUGAUCCCCCAGCCAUAAAGUUUUCAUUGCUACUUCA